rnacentral:rRNA from 1 species
AUUUAACGCUGGCGGCAGGCCUAACACAUGCAAGUCGAGCGGAACGACUGACGGGCGAGUAAUACCUAGGCAUGUGCCUGGCCGUUGGGGGUCACGUUCUGCAGCAGACGCUAAUACCUCCUACUAUCCACUGAGCCUAGGCCGGAUUAGCUAGUUGGUGGGGUAAUGGCUCACAAAGGCUACGAUCCGUAACUGGUCUGAGAGGAUGAGCAGCCACACUGGAACUGAGACACGGUCCAGACUCCUACGGGAGGCAGCAGUGGGGAAUAUUGGACAAUGGGCGAAAGCCUGAUGCAGCCAUGCCGCGUGUGUGAAGAAGGCCUUCGGGUUGUAAAGUACUUUAAGUGGGGAGGCGUUACCGACAGAAGAAGCACCGGCUAACUCCGUGCCAGCAGCCGCGGUAAUUC